rnacentral:rRNA from 1 species
GACGUAGGGGGCAAGCGUUGUCCGGAUUUAUUGGGCGUAAAGAGCUCGUAGGCGGUUUGGCAAGUCGGGUGUGAAAUCUCCGGGCUCAACUCGGAGGGGCCACUCGAUACUGCUAUGACUAGAGUCCGGUAGGGGAGCGUGGAAUUCCCGGUGUAGCGGUGAAAUGCGCAGAUAUCGGGAGGAACACCAGUAGCGAAGGCGGCGCUCUGGGCCGGAACUGACGCUAAAGAGCGAAAGCGUGGGGAGCGAACAGG